GCUCAAAGAGAAUAAGAAUGAAACAUGUACUAGAAUUAGAACAAUGCAGAGACUAGCAUGGCCCCUGCACAAAGAUGACAUACAGAUUCCACAAGUAUUCCACAAUAGG